UGGAGCUCGGACGCGAGUUCUA
rnacentral:snRNA from 1 species